GACCCAGCAACGCCGCGUGGAGGAAGAAGGUUUUCGGAUCGUAAACUCCUGUCCUUGGAGACGAGUAGAAGACGGUAUCCAAGGAGGAAGCCCCGGCUAACUACGUGCCAGCAGCCGCGGUAAUACGUAGGGGGCAAGCGUUGUCCGGAAUAAUUGGGCGUAAAGGGCGCGUAGGCGGCUCGGUAAGUCUGGAGUGAAAGUCCUGCUUUUAAGGUGGGAAUUGCUUUGGAUACUGUCGGGCUUGAGUGCAGGAGAGGUUAGUGGAAUUCCCAGUGUAGCGGUGAAAUGCGUAGAGAUUGGGAGGAACACCAGUGGCGAAGGCGACUAACUGGACUGUAACUGACGCUGAGGCGCGAAAGUGUGGGGAGCAAACAGGAUUAGAUACCCUGGUAGUCCACACUGUAAACGAUGAAUGCUAGGUGUAGGGGGUAUCGACCCCUUCUGUGCCGCAGUCAACACAAUAAGCAUUCCGCCUGGGGAGUACGGCCGCAAGGUUGAAACUCAAAGGAAUUGACGGGGGCCCGCACAAGCAGCGGAGCAUGUGGUUUAAUUCGACGCAACGCGAAGAACCUUACCAGGUCUUGACAUCCACUUAAACCUACAGAGAUGUAAGGUGUGCUUGCACAAAGUGAGACAGGUGGUGCAUGGUUGUCGUCAGCUCGUGUCGUGAGAUGUUGGGUUAAGUCCCGCAACGAGCGCAACCCUUAUCUUCAGUUACUAACGCGUGAAGGUGAGGACUCUGAAGAGACUGCCGGGGACAACUCGGAGGAAGGUGGGGACGACGUCAAAUCAUCAUGCCCCUUAUGACCUGGGCUACACACGUGCUACAAUGGCCACGACAGAGAGAAGCGAAAUCGUAAGGUAGAGCGGAACUCAAAAAAGUGGUCCCAGUUCGGAUUGUGGGCUGCAACCCGCCCACAUGAAGUCGGAGUUGCUAGUAAUCGCGGAUCAGCAUGCCGCGGUGAAUACGUUCCCGGGCCUUGUACACACCGCCCGUCACACCAUGGGAGUUGGGAGUGCCCAAAGCCGGUGAGGCAACCGCAAGGAGCCAGCCGUCUAAGGCAAGACCAAUGACUGGGGUGAAGUCGUAACAAGGUAGCCGUAUCGGAAGGUGCGGCUG
rnacentral:rRNA from 1 species